rnacentral:rRNA from 1 species
CGCUGGCGGCAGGCCUAACACAUGCAAGUCGAACGGUAACAGAAAGCAGCUUGCUGCUUUGCUGACGAGUGGCGGACGGGUGAGUAAUGUCUGGGAAACUGCCCGAUGGAGGGGGAUAACUACUGGAAACGGUAGCUAAUACCGCAUAACGUCGCAAGACCAAAGAGGGGGACCUUAGGGCCUCUUGCCAUCGGAUGUGCCCAGAUGGGAUUAGCUAGUAGGUGGGGUAAAGGCUCACCUAGGCGACGAUCCCUAGCUGGUCUGAGAGGAUGACCAGCCACACUGGAACUGAGACACGGUCCAGACUCCUACGGGAGGCAGCAGUGGGGAAUAUUGCACAAUGGGCGCAAGCCUGAUGCAGCCAUGCCGCGUGUAUGAAGAAGGCCUUCGGGUUGUAAAGUACUUUCAGCGGGGAGGAAGGGAGUAAAGUUAAUACCUUUGCUCAUUGACGUUACCCGCAGAAGAAGCACCGGCUAACUCCGUGCCAGCAGCCGCGGUAAUACGGAGGGUGCAAGCGUUAAUCGGAAUUACUGGGCGUAAAGCGCACGCAGGCGGUUUGUUAAGUCAGAUGUGAAAUCCCCGGGCUCAACCUGGGAACUGCAUCUGAUACUGGCAAGCUUGAGUCUCGUAGAGGGGGGUAGAAUUCCAGGUGUAGCGGUGAAAUGCGUAGAGAUCUGGAGGAAUACCGGUGGCGAAGGCGGCCCCCUGGACGAAGACUGACGCUCAGGUGCGAAAGCGUGGGGAGCAAACAGGAUUAGAUACCCUGGUAGUCCACGCCGUAAACGAUGUCGACUUGGAGGUUGUGCCCUUGAGGCGUGGCUUCCGGAGCUAACGCGUUAAGUCGACCGCCUGGGGAGUACGGCCGCAAGGUUAAAACUCAAAUGAAUUGACGGGGGCCCGCACAAGCGGUGGAGCAUGUGGUUUAAUUCGAUGCAACGCGAAGAACCUUACCUGGUCUUGACAUCCACGGAAGUUUUCAGAGAUGAGAAUGUGCCUUCGGGAACCGUGAGACAGGUGCUGCAUGGCUGUCGUCAGCUCGUGUUGUGAAAUGUUGGGUUAAGUCCCGCAACGAGCGCAACCCUUAUCCUUUGUUGCCAGCGGUCCGGCCGGGAACUCAAAGGAGACUGCCAGUGAUAAACUGGAGGAAGGUGGGGAUGACGUCAAGUCAUCAUGGCCCUUACGACCAGGGCUACACACGUGCUACAAUGGCGUAUACAAAGAGAAGCGACCUCGCGAGAGCAAGCGGACCUCAUAAAGUGCGUCGUAGUCCGGAUUGGAGUCUGCAACUCGACUCCAUGAAGUCGGAAUCGCUAGUAAUCGUGGAUCAGAAUGCCACGGUGAAUACGUUCCCGGGCCUUGUACACACCGCCCGUCACACCAUGGGAGUGGGUUGCAAAAGAAGUAGGUAGCUUAACCUUCGGGAGGGCGCUUACCACUUUGUGAUUCAUGACUG